rnacentral:tRNA from 1 species
GGUUCCAUAACGUAGUGGUUAGCACAUCUGCUUUACACGCAGAAGGUCCUGAGUUUGCACCUCAGUAGAGUCA